rnacentral:rRNA from 1 species
GAUUAACGCUGGCGGCGUGCAUAACACAUGCAAGUCGAACGAUGAAACUUAAAUGAUUUCUUUGGAAUGAACUUAAGUGGAUUAGUGGCGGACGGGUGAGUAACGCGUGAGUAACCUGCCUUACACAAGGGGAUAGCCGUUGGAAACGACGAAUAAUACCCUAUGAAACUAUCACUUCGCAUGAAGCGAUAGUCAAAGUGUUAGCGGUGUAAGAUGGACUUGCGUCUGAUUAGCUAGUUGGUGAGAAAAAAGCCCACCAAGGCAACGAUCAGUAGCCGGCUUGAGAGAGUGUACGGCCACAUUGGGACUGAGGCACGGCCCAGACUCCUACGGGAGGCAGCAGUGGGGAAUUUUGCACAAUGGGGGAAACCCUGAUGCAGCGACGCCGCGUGAUUUAGAAGGCCUUCGGGUUGUAAAAAUCUUUUGUAUAGGAAGAAAAUGACAGUACUAUACGAAUAAGGUCCGGCUAAUUACGUG